CUCUGUGUUUCCAUCCCUCUCUUAGCGGCUAGAAAGUUAGAGGAUGCAACUGGAUUUCCUUCGGGAAAGGAUACGAGAGAAGUUCAAAUAUCAUUCGUAAAACAGAUACUAUUUACGGAAUAGAAGAUUGGAGAUCAACCAAACAAUCUGGGAGAAAAAGAUUUGGAGAUUUGCUUGAGAAUGGGCCAGCUAUUGAAGGUGCUUACCUCCUUGGAAGUCUUUGUGUCUUAUGGACAGGCUCUGACAGGCAUUCAAAAGGUUGCAUACUUGUGUUGCAGAUGGAGAUUUAGUUAAAUUUUGGAACAUUGGUCAUGUAGAAAGGAGUUGAAUCCUUGGAGGUUUUUUUCCCUAUUUUAGUCUUUUAAUGCAAGGAGGCAUUAGUGGCAGAUUAUAAGUCGGCGGCCAACAUGAUUUUGGAUAUUACACUUAGAAGAAUCGACAAGCUGGCAAGAUGCUGAUUUGGGUGCUUCAAAUUUAUAUGGAAUGCCAAGCACGGAGGCGACAUAAAAUACUAAUAGACUAUUCCUAAGCAAG
rnacentral:lncRNA from 1 species